rnacentral:pre_miRNA from 1 species
GUGAGAUGGAAUCAAUAUUUAGACAUAUGAUUUCACACUGAUUUCAUCUCAUGA